rnacentral:rRNA from 1 species
UACGUAGGGUGCGAGCGUUGUCCGGAAUUACUGGGCGUAAAGAGCUCGUAGGCGGUUUGUCGCGUCUGCUGUGAAAACCUCAGGGCUUAACUCUGAGCUUGCAGUGGGUACGGGCAGACUAGAGUGCGGGUAGGGAGACUGGAAGUUCCUGGUGUAGCGGUGAAAUGCGCAGAUAUCAAGGAGGAACACCGGUGGGCGAAGGCGGUUCU